GCGGCUUUGGUGAAGCGGUUAACACACUGGAUUGUGGCUCCAGCAUACAUGGGUUCGAUCCCCAUAAGUCGCCCCA
rnacentral:tRNA from 1 species